rnacentral:rRNA from 1 species
CCAGGCCCGGACACUGGAAGGAUUGACAGAUUGAGAGCUCUUUCUUGAUUCGGUGGGUGGUGGUGCAUGGCCGUUCUUAGUUGGUGGAGCGAUUUGUCUGGUUAAUUCCGAUAACGAACGAGACUCUAGCCUGCUAAAUAGGUGGUCGGUUUAUUUUGAAUUUGAAACUGGGGGUCGGAGUCGUCCGGGUCAAGGCGGUUGUGGGGGGCGGCCGGGUUCUAGUCUGUUUCGGUGUUCGGUUUUCGGGUUUGCGUUCGUCUCCUUUCGGGGGGGCGGGCGUGAGCUCGGGGUCGGAUGUCGGGGUGGGCACCUCGGUCGUUCCUUCGGUCGUCUCCGGGCGAAACUCUGGCUCUCGCGUCGACCACAUCUCUUCUUAGAGGGACAAGCGGCGUCCAGCCGCGUGACAGUGAGCAAUAACAGGUCUGUGAUGCCCUUAGAUGUCCUGGGCCGCACGCGCGCUACACUGAAGGAAUCAGCGUGUUUCACUCUCCCUGUCCGAAAGGACCGGGUAACCGCUGAACCUCCUUCGUGG